rnacentral:rRNA from 1 species
GACGAACGCUGGCGGCGUGCUUAACACAUGCAAGUCGAACGGAAAGGCCCUGCUUGCAGGGUACUCGAGUGGCGAACGGGUGAGUAACACGUGGGUGAUCUGCCCUGCACUUCGGGAUAAGCCUGGGAAACUGGGUCUAAUACCGGAUAGGAGCCAUUUUUAGUGUGAUGGUUGGAAAGUUUUUUCGGUGUAGGAUGAGCUCGCGGCCUAUCAGCUUGUUGGUGGGGUAAUGGCCUACCAAGGCGGCGACGGGUAGCCGGCGUGAGAGGGUGGACGGCCACAUUGGGACUGAGAUACGGCCCAGACUCCUACGGGAGGCAGCAGUGGGGAAUAUUGCACAAGGGGCGCAAGCCUGAUGCAGCGACGCCGCGUGGGGGAGGACGGCCUUCGGGUUGUAAACGCCUUUCGCUAGGGACGAAGCUUUUUGUGACGGUACCUAGAUAAGAAGCACCGGCUAACUACGUG